rnacentral:rRNA from 1 species
UACAGAGGUCUCAAGCGUUGUUCGGAUUCAUUGGGCGUAAAGGGUGCGUAGGCGGCGCGGUAAGUCGGGUGUGAAAUCUUGGAGCUUAACUCCGAAACUGCAUUCGAUACUGCCGUGCUUGAGGACUGGAGAGGAGACUGGAAUUUACGGUGUAGCGGUGAAAUGCGCAGAUAUCAGGAGGAACACCCGUGGCGAAGGCAGCUCGCUGGGACGUGACUGACGCUGAGACGCGAAAGCGUGGGGAGCAAACAGG